CAGUCGCCGCGGUAAUACGGAGGGUGCAAGCGUUAUCCGGAUUCACUGGGUUUAAAGGGUCCGUAGGCGGAUCUGUAAGUCAGUGGUGAAAUCUCACAGCUUAACUGUGAAACUGCCAUUGAUACUGCAGGUCUUGAGUAAAUUUGAAGUGGCUGGAAUAAGUAGUGUAGCGGUGAAAUGCAUAGAUAUUACUUAGAACACCAAUUGCGAAGGCAGGUCACUAAGAUUUAACUGACGCUGAUGGACGAAAGCGUGGGGAGCGAACAGGAUUAGAGACCCCAGUAGUCCCUGUCUCUUAUAC
rnacentral:rRNA from 1 species